rnacentral:rRNA from 1 species
UACGUAGGGUGCGAGCGUUGUCCGGAAUUAUUGGGCGUAAAGAGCUCGUAGGCGGUAUGUCGCGUCUGCUGUGAAAGACCGGGGCUUAACUUCGGUUUUGCAGUGGAUACGGGCAUGCUUGAGGUAGGUAGGGGAGACUGGAAUUCCUGGUGUAGCGGUGAAAUGCGCAGAUAUCAGGAGGAACACCGGUGGCGAAGGCGGGUCUCUGGGCCUUACCUGACGCUGAGGAGCGAAAGCAUGGGUAGCCAACAGGAUUAGAUACCCGCGUA